GGCUGUUUGCUCUAGUGGUAUGAUUCUUCCUUAGGGUGGAAGAAGUCCUGGGUUCGAUUCCCAGAACAAUCG
rnacentral:tRNA from 1 species